AUGUACCAAGAGUUAGUUUCUCAAGCAUUAUCAGCAGGCACAAGAUUGAGAGAAGUAUCAGUAGACUACAAAUCAAAUAGUUCUUUUAAAAUAUCGGUUGAAAGAUGCUUUAUUUUGUUUUGCAAGUCUAUCCUUCCGGUGAAGGAGAUCACCAAGGCUUUAGCAAAUAAAAGUUAUGAUGUAAUGACAUAUGAUAAUGUAGGAAGGGUUGUGUGCAACUAUGUUUACUAUGAUUCCCUUAGUUUCGCCGAGCAGAUCGGAAUCAAAUUCCUUUUUGUGCACACGCCGUAG